GUGAAUACGACAAAAGACCCAGGUAAUAGAUGUCAUCCACAGAAUCAUAUCCCUCAAAUGGCAAUGAGCAGGAUACCUGGCAAUAAGGACGAACAACAGAUUAUGGACCACAAAAAUUACCGCAUGGUACCCACAAGGAAUUAAGAGACCUAGAAGUAGACUGAACCUGAGAUGGGACCAUAAUAUUAGGAAAUUAGCAAGGAUAAAUUGGGUCUACAUAGCCAACAAUAGACAAAGAACGAUGAUGAGACAAUAAGUUUUAGCUUUUAACCAACUGAAAACUGAAGUAGAUAAAACAUGGAUAAAAUCAGGGCAAACCUAUAUAUUCUUAAUAUAAUGAUAAUAUCACGAACAAUAUUCAUUAUUGUCAAUGUUGUAUUGGUUAAUCAUUUGAGAUUUUUAAAAUAAGGACUUAAAAUAAGGAACAUCACAAGAGAAACAAUUGGAUAUAGAUUGGAAAACUUUACCGAAGAGGAAUUUGAAACGAUGAAUAAGACAAUUUAACAUGCGAAGACAAAAUAUGAAAG